rnacentral:rRNA from 1 species
GACGAACGCUGGCGGCGUGCUUAACACAUGCAAGUCGAGCGGUAAGGCCCUUUCGGGGUACGACGAGCGGCGAACGGGUGGAGUAACAACGUGGGUGGACCUCGCCCUCCAGCUCUGGGGAUAAGCCUGGGAAACGUGGGUCUAAUACCGGAUAUGACCCCAUGACGCAUGUCGUGGGGUGGAAAGCCUUGUGCGGCUGAGGAUGGGCCCGCGGCCUAUCAGCUUGUU